GAGUCAUUAGUUUAAAGGUAGAAUAGUAGACUUCCAAUCUAUUGGUGUCAGUUCAAUUCUGACAUGGCUCUCCA
rnacentral:tRNA from 1 species